AGUGAACGCUGGCGGUAGGCCUAACACAUGCAAGUCGAACGGCAGCACAGGAGAGCUUGCUCUCUGGGUGGCGAGUGGCGGACGGGUGAGGAAUACAUCGGAAUCUACUUUUUCGUGGGGGAUAACGUAGGGAAACUUACGCUAAUACCGCAUACGACCUACGGGUGAAAGCAGGGGAUCUUCGGACCUUGCGCGAUUGAAUGAGCCGAUGUCGGAUAGGCUAGUUGGCGGGGUAAAGGCCCACCAAGGCGACGAUCCGUAGCUGGUCUGAGAGGAUGAUCAGCCACACUGGAACUGAGACACGGUCCAGACUCCUACGGGAGGCAGCAGUGGGGAAUAUUGGACAAUGGGCGCAAGCCUGAUCCAGCCAUACCGCGUGGGUGAAAAAGGCCUUCGGGUUGUAAAGCCCUUUUGUUGGGAAAGAAAUCCAGCUGGUUAAUACCCGGUUGGGAUGACGGUACCCAAAGAAUAAGCACCGGCUAACUUCGUGCCAGCCGCCGCCGUAA
rnacentral:rRNA from 1 species